rnacentral:lncRNA from 10 species
GCAGUUUGAUCUCAGACUGCUGUGCUAGCAAUCAGCGAGACUCCCUGGGCGUAGGACCCUCCGAGCCAGGUGUGGGAAAUAAUCUCCUGGUGCACCGUUUCCUAAGCCCGUCGGAAAAGCGCAGUAUUUGGGUGGGAGUGGCCCGAUUUUCCAGGUGCCCUCCUUUCCUUGACCAGGAAAGGGAACUCCCUGACCCCUUACGCUUCCCAAGUGAGGCAAUGCCUCGCCCUGCUUCGGCUGGCGCACGGUGCCCUGCACCCACUGUCUGGCACUCCCUAGUGAGAUGAACCCGGUACCUCAGAUGGAAAUGCAGAAAUCACCCAUCUUCUGCGUGGCUCAUGCUGGGAGCUGUAGACCAGAGCUGUUCCUAUUCAGCCAUCUUGGCUCCCGGAUCCAGUUUAACUUUUGCAGAGAGACAAGAUCUCUCUCCAUUGCCAACACUGGUCUCAAACUCCUGGCCUCAAGCAAUCAUCCAACCUCAGCCUUCUGAGUACCGGGAUUACAAGUGCGAGCCACUGUGCCCAGCUCCUGUUUCUACUUUCUUAAGUGAACCUGAGGAAUACCACAAAUGUGAGCAUGGCUGGAUCUUUUGAAUUAAAAUCCACACUGGGAAAGAAAUAGACCUUGAACAUCUUGCCAAAGAUUCCUCUUAGGACUCUAGAUGCACGGAGAGUGGCCAGAUUAAUACAGACUGGCAAAAGAAGAACUUGGCAAAGUGAUUUGAUCACACACUUCUCACCCUCACAUCUCCUGACAGUUCCCCUAAUCCCUGCCCCACUUCCCCGCCAUGGGCUUCCAUCAGGAAACUCCUUGAUAUCAUCUUCGAGAAGAAAACUGAGGCAUAGAACAUUUGGGAAUGAAUCUAAGACUACACAUCUAGAAUAGCAGAGGCUAAACGAAGGGAGAAACUUUCUCAUGCUGCUGAUGCUGACUGCUUUUGGAUAACUCUUUCAUACUGAACUGGACUGCUGCGUUCUUGAAAAACCAGGAAGAAGAAAAUCACCCUCUAAAACUGAAAUUUCCAGAGACUUGCCUCAACCCAUUGGCUCUCUACAUGCUGCCCUCCUAUUAGGAAAUAGAUUUGUUACUUACAUUCCCCCCUCCACUCACCCUCCACUACCAGACAAAGCUAAAUGGGCUCAGGGGAAAUAAGUAACUGUGAUGUUCCUCAGAGAUCUGUUAUGUACCAAUGAUAAAUGGAAAAUGAAAAUUACUAACAUUUAUGAUUGAUCUAUAUGUUUGUUUUUGUUUUGUUUUGUUUUGUUUUUGUUUUGUUUUGUUUUGUUUUUGAGACAGAGUCUCACUCUGUUUUCCAGGCUGGAGUGCAGUGACACUACCUUGGCUCACUGCAACCUCUGCCUCCCUGGUUCAAACCAUUCACCCACCUCAGCCUCCUGAGUAGCUGGGAUUACAGGCUCAUGCCACCACACCCAGCUAAUUUUUGUAUUUUUAGUAGAAACAGGUUUCCACCAUGUUGGCCAGGCUGGUCUUGAACUCCUAACCGCAGGUGAUCUGCUGCCUCAGCCUCUCAAAGUGCUCGGCUUGUAGGCAGGAUACAGAGCACCCCACCAAGAUGGAUCUGUAGUUUUGGCCAGGUGCAGUGGCUCACGCCUGUAAUCCCAGCACUUUGGGAGGCAGAGUUGGGCGGAUCACUUGAGCCCAGGAGUUUGAGAUCAGCCUGGACAACAUGGCCAAACCCCACCUCUAUAAAAACUACAAAAAUCAGCCGAGCAUGGUAGUGCGUGCCUGUAAACCCAGAUGCAUGGAAGGCUGAGACUGGAGAAUCGCUUGAACCCAGGUGGCGGAGGUUGCAGUGAGCUGAGAUUGUGCCACUGCACUCCAGCCUGGAGGACAGAGUGAAACUCUAUCUCAAAAAAAAAAAAAAAAUCCAUAGUUUUAAGGAUGGAGAUGAAGUUGAAGUCAUCAGAAAAGAUCCCAUUGAAAUGGAAAAAAAUUGUGAAAUGUAGUGAUAGCAACAGAAAAGAACUAAAAUAAUUCAGUGAGAGAACUAAAAUAAUUCAGUGAGAUCUAAGGGGAAAAUCCUACAAAAACAGAGAAGUCAUCUUGGGAUAAUAAAGCAUUCUUGCUAGUAAGAAUUAUAAUGUGUUUAAUUCUUUUUAAUAAUUUCAACUCUUAUUUUAGAUUCAGAGGAUACACGUGCAGGUUUGUUAUAUGGGUAUAUUGCAUGAUGCUGAGAUUUAGGAUACAAAUGAUCCCAUCACCCAGGUAGUGAGCAUAGUACCCAAUAGUUUUUCAACCCUUACCCUCUUCCCUCCCUGCUCAGUAGUCACCAGUGUCUAUUGUUGUCAUCUUCGUGUCCACAACUACACAAUGUUUAGUUCUCACUUAUAACUGAAAACAUGCAGCAUUUGGUUUUCUGUUCCUGCAUCAGUUCACGCCGGAUAAUGGCCUCCAGCUGCACCUGUGCUGCUGCAAAGAACAUGAUUUCAUUCUUUUUUAUGGCUGUGUAGUAUUCCAUGGUGUGUAUGUACCAUGAUGUGUUUAAUUUUAACAUUCAAUAAAGGUAGUAAAAAUAGACUAGAUGCUGAUAAAAACCUCAUCAAUCAUGUAGGAAAUGAACUGGAAAUUAUCCUAAAAUUGUAAAAAUAACAGAGCAGUAGUUAGGAGGAAAACAAAGGAUAAUAGAAUAUAGAGCCAGGAGAUCAAAUAUUCCAGUAAUAAGAGUUUCAGAAACAGAUAAACAUAUGAAGAAGAGAAACAAAGAAUAAGAGAAUAUUUCUGAGUUGAGUUUUCAGAUUAAACGCUCUUAAUUGCCAGGUCUCCAAAAGACAUACUAUAUAACCUGGAAAAUUUGCUGCCCUCCAAAAUAAAAGAGCAA